rnacentral:lncRNA from 1 species
GGGAGGGGUUGUUACCUUGGAGACACGUGAUGGGGGGAGGGGUUGGUUACCUUGGAGACACGUGAUGGGGGGUGGUUACCUUGGAGACACGUGAUGUGGGGGGAGGAGUUGGUUACCUUGGAGAUGAAGAUGGUGUUGAUCUUGGGGUUGUGUUUAAAGUUCUGCAGGAUCUGCAUCCUCUCUCCCUGAGAGGCGAGACAGGUUAGAUAUGGGGCCUGAGAGGAGAGACAGGUUAGAUAUGGGGUCUGAGAGGAGAGACAGGUUAGAUAUGGGGCCUGAGAGGAGAGACAGGUUAGAUAUGGGGCCUGAGAGGAGAGAGAGACGUUAGAUAUGGGGCCUGAGAGGAGAGACAGGUUAGAUAUGGGGCCUGAGAGGAGAGACAGGUUAGAUAUGGGGUCUGAGAGGAGAGACAGGUUAGAUAUGGGGCCUGAGAGGAGAGACAGGUUAGAUAUGGGGCCUGAGAGGAGAGACAGGUUAGAUAUGGGGCCUGAGAGGAGAGACAGGUUAGAUAUGGGGCCUGAGGUACGAGGUAAUAACAUGGCUAUAUACACAUGGUACCAGUACUGAGUCAAUGUGCUGAGGUAUGACGUAAUAACAUGGAUAUAUACACAUGGUACCAGUACUGAGGUACGAGGUAAUAACAUGGCUAUAUACACAUGGUACCAGUACUGAGGUA